CGAGGUCCUCUGCCGCGUGUUUGGAAGUUAUGGCCGCGCCGGUCCGUGGUGCUCUCCCUGAAAGGCCUAGGCUUUGGGUGAUGGCAUUGCCUUUUGGCACUCGGGAGACAAGACGCAGGUUCCAUCUCAGAAGUAAUGGCUGGAUCCCUGAAAGCCAACGGGCUCGGUGUGGUCACCCGUCAGAAGGCAUAGGUAGAUGGUGGGCAUCUGCCUCAGACAUAGAGUUCUCAAGUUCAGCCAGAAGAAUGCGCGUUGAGCCCUCCGCAGCCCGUGUCGACGGAGGUGUUGUCUCCAGGAAGCAUCAUGGAAAGGCGUGGUGCACAAGGGCCUUCAGGAUGCCCGUGCCUGGUGUCGGCUGCACCCCAGUUUCUGGGCCUGACUCAGAAGGAUGCCUGUGAGCAGAAGAGCUGGCACGUGCAGCUCGGUGGAGCAUCAGUGCCAACCAGUCCAGUACCCUGGCUGAGGGGUGUGCUAAG